CAGUCGAGCGAACAGACGAGGAGCUUGCUCCUCUGACGUUAGCGGCGGACGGGUGAGUAACACGUGGGUAACCUACCUAUAAGACUGGGAUAACUCCGGGAAACCGGGGCUAAUACCGGAUAACACAUGAAACCGCAUGGUUUCAUGAUGAAAGACGGUUUUGCUGUCACUUAUAGAUGGACCCGCGGCGUAUUAGCUAGUUGGUAAGGUAACGGCUUACCAAGGCAACGAUACGUAGCCGACCUGAGAGGGUGAUCGGCCACACUGGAACUGAGACACGGUCCAGACUCCUACGGGAGGCAGCAGUAGGGAAUCUUCCGCAAUGGGCGAAAGCCUGACGGAGCAACGCCGCGUGAGUGAUGAAGGUCUUCGGAUCGUAAAACUCUGUUAUUAGGGAAGAACAAGGAUGUAAGUAACUGUGCAUCCCUUGACGGUACCUAAUCAGAAAGCCACGGCUAACUACGUGCCAGCAGCCGCGGUAAUACGUAGGUGGCAAGCGUUAUCCGGAAUUAUUGGGCGUAAAGCGCGCGUAGGCGGUUUUUUAAGUCUGAUGUGAAAGCCCACGGCUCAACCGUGGAGGGUCAUUGGAAACUGGAAAACUUGAGUGCAGAAGAGGAAAGUGGAAUUCCAUGUGUAGCGGUGAAAUGCGCAGAGAUAUGGAGGAACACCAGUGGCGAAUGCGACUUUCUGGUCUGCAACUGACGCUGAUGUGCGAAAGCGUGGGAUCAAACAGAUUAGAUACCCUGCUAGUCCACGCCGUAAACGAUGA
rnacentral:rRNA from 1 species